GUGCUCACUUUGGUAGUGCAUAUAUUAAAAUUGGAACAAUACAGAGAAGAUUAGUGUGGCCACUGAGUAAGGAUGGUAUGUAAAUUUGUGAAGCAUUCCAUAUUUUC
rnacentral:snRNA from 1 species